rnacentral:rRNA from 1 species
CCCUUAGAUGUCCGGGGCUGCACGCGCGCUACACUGAAGGAAUCAGCGUGCUAAAACCAUUGUCGAAAGGCAUUGGUAAACCCAUUAAAAUCCUACGUGAUUGGGAUCGGGAAUUGCAAUUAUUUCCCUUGAACGAGGAAUUCCCAGUAAGUGUGGGUCAUAAGCUCGCGUUGAUUACGUCCCUGCCCUUUGUACACACCGCCCGUCGCUGCCCGGGACUGAGCCGUUUCGAGAAAAGCGGGGACUGCUGCUGUCGGGGCUUUCGGGCCUUGGCUUCGGUGGAAACCGCUUUAAUCGCAGUGGCUUGAACCGGGCUAAAGUCGUAACA